rnacentral:rRNA from 1 species
GCCUGUGGUGAUAGCACGUUGAAUACACCAGUUCCCUAUGGAUCACUAAAGUUCAGCAACGUUUCGCGUGGUUGGUAUCCGGACGGGUGACCGGAAAAAGCCAGCUGCACGCG